GUUCUUCGUCUUUGAAGAACACGCAAGCCAGGCCUCAAAUCCGUCCCAAUAAAUCGUCAAAUUCACGCGAGUGAGCAUCAAGGCCUAACCCACGCGUCCCUCUACCUAUCCUCUUGCUUUUGCUAACGGAUUUUCUGAUGCCAAGAUUCGUUUCUGUUCACUCGCUCGAUUUUGAGAGGAGGCACGUGAUUGGAAGGUCCUAGAGACGAUUCGUUGGAUGAAUGUGAGGCAUUGGAUUGAUUUCGUACAAUCCGAGCCCUACAUUCAUCCAGGGUUCGUUUCAUAAAAGGACUCAAUCGGAUUUUUUGCUGGGGGGAAUUUUUGGAGCAGAAAACGGAGGGUUAAGAAACAAUGGUCUUUCUUCUUCUUCUCGAUUGAAUUUUAGUUUGGUUCUAGUCUGUAAAGAAAAUACAAAAAAAAAACUGUUGUGGUUUUGUGUUUAAUCUGAUUCGUUUCUUCGUUCUCUAUAUUUUAAAAAAAAAAUUCAACAAUUUCUGAUUCUUCACUGAUGAGCUUGGUUUUGAACUCGAAGGAAAAUGAACUGAGGUCUACUAACAGUUCAUGAGCUUCGAUUUCGUCGACUCUGUUUCUAUGGUUGCUCUGCUGCUUCGCCAUUGAACCUCGACGGAAUUUGGAAUCAAAGGGUGUAUUGUCGAGUAUAUAGUUAUUAAAAGGAGUUUAAAAUUUCAGCUGUUGUCACUUCCAAUUCAAAGGCUGGAUUCGUUUGUAUUGAAGUCCAAACGAAAUUAAUCAAAACUUCGCGCAAUCAGGUUCAAUCUCUUUCUCUUUUCUUAUGUCGGUUUGGAUGUUGAUUGAAAAUACGAUAAAAGCCAUGGAAAUCCAUUUAUAGAAGUAAUUUUUUGACUAAUUCCAUUAGAGGUUAAAUUUUGAAGUUGGCUUUCAGUUUCAGUUCGCGUUUGGUAGUGUUGUUUGACAUAUCGUUUGUUGUUCGAAUCUUACACUCAUUGUUCUGUUCUGCUCUGCCUCAUGUAUACUCACAUGGUCUUUCGCUUGGUUAUCCGACUCUCUGGUACGAGUGUUUCCGGUUAUCUGUUCAGGGUCGUAUGCCUACUCAUCGAUGUCUAAAUCGUUCUGUUCUUGUCUUCGAAACGAGCAGAGCAUGCUGUGCUUGGAUUUUGCCGUGAUCAAAGUUUAAAUCACAUGAUCCUAGGGAGGUUGAAAUGGCUGCUAUAUUAAGAUCACGCUUAGUGUUUCACCUCUGCUCCGAUAUGUUUGAUAGAAGUCGAAUUAGUGUCUUUAUUUAUGAGAUUUGAGACCAUUCGUGUGUCUAUCAAUUGGUUAACCAGGUCUGUUCUUGAAAGUGAGACCUAUGUGGUUUUUUAUAAUUCCCAGCUGGAAUUUAACUAGUUACAUGACCGUUAAAUGAAUAGCGAGUCGAUAAUCUGCUCACUUGUGCUUUUCAUGACUAUGUUGGUUUGGUUCCGUCAAGUUCGAGUCUGAAAUAGUUUUUCCUAUGUUGCUUCUCUGACCUGCUUGGAUUAGCUUUCCCCACACAUUUGUUGUUGAAAUCUGACCACCUCCAUGAUAAGGCAGUGGCGAACUUGAAGGUUUCAGGUGUCUUUCCUGCUUUGUGGACAUUAGUUGCAGUUCCCCUUCUUUAAUCGCUGCUCUCAUUCUACUGCUUUAAGGCAUUUUAUGCUCAACUAAAAUAAGCAUCAAGUGUAUCGUAACUGUGCGAGCUAUUUGCUGUGGUGUAGGAGUAACAUAAUGAACAGAUUGUUUACAUUAGCUUACAUUUUAUUGAGGUGCUCAACACACACUGAUGAUGUCUUUAACCAUGGCACCGAAAGAGCUAAUUCAAGUCUAGUUUACCUGUGUAGAUAUAGUGCAGCCUGUUUUGCAAUUGUCUAUUAACCUA
rnacentral:lncRNA from 1 species